CACACACUGGCUGAUACCUGACCGCGCUGACACCACGGUCUCUAACACCGACUGUCCCUACGACAGGUCAGAGACACCUAUACACCUAUACACACACUGGCUGAUACCUGACCACGCUGACACCACGGUCUCUAACACCGACUGUCCCUACGACAGGUCAGACACCUAUACACCCACUGGCUGAUACCUGACCACGCUGACACCACGGUCUCUAACACCGACUGUCCCUACGACAGGGUGGUGGCCACCACUGAGAUGAUGAGAGGAGUGGUCCCUGGGUCGGCUGAGGUGUUCAACUACAUGACUCACCUGAAGCUCAGCCACAGCACGGCAUUGGCUGUCAGCGACCACUACCCCGUUGAGGUGAAGCUGAUUGGUCACGCCCCUGCUGCAUGAGCCCGCCUCCAGGAAGUGUUCCGACACUCUCAAAUGGCACCCUAUUCGCUGCGUAGUGCACUACUUUGGACCAGAGCCUUCUAUAGGGAAUAGGGUGCCAGUUGAGUGUCAUCGCCAUGACGCGUUUCAAUAAAACUCAGUCUAACUGUUA